UACGGAGGAUGCAAGCGUUAUCCGGAUUUAUUGGGUUUAAAGGGUGCGCAGGUUGUUUGAUAAGUCAGUGGUGAAAGUCUGUCGCUUAACGGUAGGAUUGCCAUUGAUACUGUUGGACUUGAAUAUGGAUGAGGUAGGCGGAAUGUGUAGUGUAGCGGUGAAAUGCAUAGAUAUUACACAGAACACCGAUUGCGAAGGCAGCUUACUAAUCCAUCAUUGACGCUGAGGCACGAAAGCGUGGAGAUCAAACA
rnacentral:rRNA from 1 species